UUUAAGCGUAGCCAUGAGUUUCCGUGUUCAAUUUUUAUCGUCUGUCUUAUUUAAUUUUUUUUAUGAUUAUUAUUUUAUUGUUGUUAAAUGAUAAAACAUGAAUAAGUACUUUAUACGUGAAUUAUGUGUUUUAAUUUUUUUAAAAGACGGAUGAUUAAAGUUAAAUACGGAAACUUAUGACUGCGUUUAAA
rfam:Oryza punctata chromosome 3, whole genome shotgun sequence.